UGAUCGAAGCACCAGGAGAAACGCUGGAACACUGUAAAAGGAACAGAGACCAUUAAAGAUUUAGCCGGAGAAUAACAGAGAGGUUGCCCUGAAGGCGACUCCAAAGGACUUUGGAGAAGGUUAGGUAAGUCCCUGCCCCAAAACUAGACCGGAGAAGCCCAAUCUAGACGCCAAUAACUCUAGAAGACAAGACAAGCCCUAUGGAACCAAACUGAAGAGAUACGAAGCCAGUAAGUAGAGCACUGGAGCGUCACUGACUGAAGGAAGCCGACG
rnacentral:lncRNA from 1 species